AGCAGCCGCGGUAAUUCCAGCUCCAAUAGCGUAUAUUAAAGUUGUUGCAGUUAAAAAGCUCGUAGUUGAACUUCGGGGUUUACCCAUUGGUCAGGCUUAAUUGUCUGUACUGGUGAGAUAAAUCUCUACCUUCUGAGGAACUUUCAUGCCAUUUAUUUGGUGUGAUGGGAAAUCAGGACUGUUACUUUGAAAAAAUUAGAGUGUUUAAAGCAGGCUAACGUCUGAAUACAUUAGCAUGGAAUAAUGAAAUAGGACGGACUGAUUCUAUUUCGUUGGUUUCUAGGAUCACCGUAAUGAUUAAUAGGGAUAGUUGGGGGCAUUAGUAUUCAAUUGUCAGAGGUGAAAUUCUUGGAUUUAUUGAAGACUAACUACUGCGAAAGCAUUUGCCAAGGAUGUUUUCAUUAAUCAAGAACGAAAGUUAGGGGAUCGAAGACGAUCAGAUACCAUCGUAGUCUUAACCAUAAACUAUGCCGACUAGGGAUCGGACGAAGUUAAUUUUAUAAUUGACGCGUUCGGCACC
rnacentral:rRNA from 1 species